GUCAAGUGAAUAAGCGCACAUGGUGGAUGCCUUGGCGAUAAGAGGCGAUGAAGGGCGUAGUAAUCUGCGAAAAGCGUUGGCGAGUUGAUAAACGAGCAUUAACCCAACGAUUCCCGAAUGGGGCAACCCAACCAGCGUAAGCUGGUUAUCCCAUACUGAAUACAUAGGUAUUGGGAGGCGAACCCGGAGAACUGAAACAUCUAAGUACCCGGAGGAAAAGAAAUCAACCGAGAUUUCCCUAGUAGCGGCGAGCGAACGGGAAACAGCCUGCAAGUAAUAAUUUUUGUAUUAGUGGAAUCAACUGGAAAGUUGAGCGAUACAGGGUGAUAGCCCCGUACACGAAAAUGCGAUUAUGGUACUAAGCUUGCGACAAGUAGGGCGGGGCACGAGAAACCUUGUCUGAACAUGGGGGGACCAUCCUCCAAGGCUAAAUACUC
rnacentral:rRNA from 1 species